GACGAACGCUGGCGGCGUGCUUAACACAUGCAAGUCGAACGAUGAAGCUGGAGCUUGCUCCGGUGGAUUAGUGGCGAACGGGUGAGUAACACGUGAGAAAUCUGCCCUUGACUCUGGGAUAACUGCGGGAAACUGUAGCUAAUACCGGAUAUUUUCCUUGGUGGGCAUCCACUGGGGAAGAAAGAAUUUCGGUCAAGGAUGAUCUCGCGGCCUAUCAGCUAGUUGGUGAGGUAAUGGCUCACCAAGGCGACGACGGGUAGCCGGCCUGAGAGGGUGACCGGCCACACUGGGACUGAGACACGGCCCAGACUCCUACGGGAGGCAGCAGUGGGGAAUAUUGCACAAUGGGCGCAAGCCUGAUGCAGCAACGCCGCGUGAGGGAUGAAGGCCUUCGGGUUGUAAACCGCUGUCGGGAGGGACGAAGCUCUGACGGUACCUCCAAAGGAAGCACCGGCUAACUCUGUGCCAGCCGACGCCGUAA
rnacentral:rRNA from 1 species